CUUGACCAGAAUCUAACCCAGGACCCUUAAAUCCACAGGCCAAUGUUCUUUCCACUGAGCCAAACCGGUAGGGCAAUUAAAUACUCUUAGAAGAAAUUGGUCUAAAUUAUGAGUAUCAGGAAGAUGAUCUAUGGAGCUCUCCAUUACCACUCAAGAAUACGGCCUUUAGGCAAAUGACAACUUAUUUAUUCAUCAAAGUGAUAAACUUGAGGUAUUAAAUGGUUAAUAGACAGCUAUACCACUGUGUUUUGGACUCAGCCAUUACAGUCCCUGUGCAAAACUCCACUGACUUUCAGGCACAGACAAAAAUGUUUCAGAAAGGCCUUGAAAGAAGGCCUAUCACCAAGAAGAUAUUGUGCAGGACUCCACACUUAAACAAAAAGAGAAGCUGACUUUUAUGUUGAGUAAGAAAUAGGCAGAAUAUACCAAAAUUUAGAUAAAAUGCUCCAGUAAAAAAUGUGUAAAUGAGUUUAAAAGAAGGGUUUAUUUCAGGGAACAGAGGGGAAUGGGGUUGGGUGGUGGGCGGUAAGAUAAGAAGAAGAGAACUCACUGGAAAUUUUGAAGUAGAUUUUGAGGAGGAGUGAUUCAUUUUUAAAGAUGUGUUUGCAGUUCAGAAGGGCAGGCAGCUUCUGAGCACACAGGAAGUAAGGAAGGCUCCACGCUGAUUACGUGAACCCCAAGGAGAGGAGUGUUUGGAGUCCCACCUGGCCUUACUUCUGUAAGGAGACAGGUGGGGCCUACUCAUGGGGCCAAGGGUGACUACUAAAACAUGUACCAGUACAUUGCUGGGUGCUAGAUGCUGUACCUAGAGGCUGGGGGAAAAGACCAAGCAGAAAUGUUUCCUGUCUUUUAGUCUAGUUUGGGGGUAAGUCUCCUACCUGGAGAAAAUGGGAGGGACUCUGAGGGAGCACAGAGGAGAUGGGGAGAACUGCCACCUCAGGGAGGAAAUAGAAGUUUGAAGAUUGGAGAUAGGAGGAUAGAAGAGAUAUACCUUGCUUAUCUCUUACCUGCUCAAAUCUCCCUGCCCCAAAGGCCACUCCUUUGUCCCAGGCUCUCAAUGUCUUCCAUCUGUAUAACUGCAGGUGAGAAACAUUCCAUUCGCUUCCAUACUUUCAUUCAUAGUCCCUCCUACCUGUCGUUGAUGCUGAUGUCAGGAUGGGUGUUGAUGGAUUCUUCUGUUACUGCCAGGGACCCAAUUCAGGGCUAAGAGGACCAAAACUCCAGCAUAGGAUGCCAAUGCAUAUAACCUUAUGGCUUCAUCCCUGAGGACCUUGAGUGCAUACGUGUGGAGACCCCAGCCCACCCAUCCAAGACCAGUUCUCACCCCUCUCCAUCCUGCAAAUGGCUGCCUCCUCAAAUUUCUGGAACUAGUCUUAUAAGAACUACGAAUUCAACCCAUGAGUUUCCUUCCCCUAUUUUUUGCAUCCCUGGUCUCAGGAAAUAACCACCUAUUAUUAAGAUGCACAGGCCAGAAAUGCAAGUGUUAUUCAUGAUUCCUCUUUGUACCUCAUUCUUUACAUCUAAUUAGUACUUGUAUCUUGUUGAUUCUAAUUUCUAAAUAUUUCUAGAUUCAUUUUCCCCCAUCUCCCUUACUAUGAUAUUAAUUUAGCCCUCUAAUAGGAUUUAUUUAAAGGAUCUGAAUAGUCUCUUAAGAAUUCACUGCUAUAAUGCAUUUUUCACCCUAUUGCAAAAAUGACUGCCCUAAAAUUUAAAUAGUAUCAUGUACUUCCUCUGCUUUUAAUUCUUCACUGGUUCCUUCAUGCUGUUCAUGAUAAAAUCCAGAGUCCUAAACUCAUGGCAAUCUUUCCAUAUCAUGUCCAUUCCAUCUUUGAGCUAAAACAUACCACUCACACCCAUGCUGUAGGGAGUAUUUCCCACAAACUACUCCUUUCUCAUGAAGAUCCUUCUUUCCUCUGGUAUCUGGCUACCUCCAGAUUCAGCCGAUUCCUCAUCUCUGAAAGAGAUGGCCUGACCACCCCAGGCCCGACUGGGAUAGUCUUUGUCAAUGCUUAUUCCAGUAGAAUAUUUUUCACAAACUAUUUUAAUUGUGGGUUUAACUGUAUGCCUUGCUCACUAGUCUGUACUUGCUCCAUGAAGGCAGGGAGCUCACCUUUCAUUUCCUUACCCUCAGCAUUGAGCACUAUGCAUGGCAAUUAGCAGAUAUUCAAUAUAAUUGUGAGGAGUGCCAGGGAAGGUGGUGGGUGAUAUCAAGGGGGUGACAGAGGCCAUCCCCUAUGGUUUAGAGGGAAAUUAGACAAGUGGCUCCAAUGCAGGUACAUCAUGGUUGAUGUUGAGAAAGCCAGGAGGGAAGUUAUCUCUAGGUAACUUGAAAUCUUUUUAGGUUCCUUAAAUUUGGUAAAAGUCAUCUCUGCAAAAAUGUACUUUUUUCUUCUUCAUAAAACUUAGGACAUUCAUAAUUUCCCCGGGAGCCAUUCCAUGGAUUUCUGGAGUGCUCUCUGCCUUACAGCAAUCUGCUCCAGCCCUAAUCCAACUGCCCUCCAUGGGUACGUGUGUUUAAGGAGCAUUUGAGAUGAACUCAAAGGGUGCCUCUUUGCUCCUUCUGUCUUGUGGCUACUCAUGAGGGGUUGAAGUUCACAGAGACUUUUGGAUGAACUCUUCAGGGCUGAGACAAGAGCCACCCCUUAAAAAGUGCUGCUUGUCAAUCCAGUUAACAAAUGAGAUUAACAUCCUCAUCUUAAUGAGUGUCUGGUUCCCAGUCUGUUAUUUCACAGGUUGACACUAGAUGUCAGGGAAAGACUUAGCAUUCUAAUCUGCAGGUCUCAACACCAUCCAGCAGAAAGGAAGGCUGCCUGCUGAGGGAAAUCAGAUAUUGAAAAUUGGCAAAUUUCCCCCUGUGACUACUGGGGGCACCAGGGUUCUUAUGCAAAAACAUCACUACCCUGCACAUGCCCUAUUAGAUAUACCUUUGAUGCUGCUAAAUUCCAUUUACAUGCCCUGGGCAGGUAGCUCUGUUGGUUAGUGUUGUCCCUAUAUGCCAGGAUUGUAGGUUCAACCCCCAGUCACGGCACAUACAAAAAUCAACUAAUGAAUACAUACAUAAGUAGAACAACAAAUCUCUCUCUCUCUCUCUUCCUCUCUCUCUCUAAAAAUCAAUUCAAAAACCCCAUUUAUAGAAUGGUUUAUGUCAAGGUCACUUCAGAGAAUUAGGUUAUUUUGGGAGGGGAGAAAUGAGAAUCACCAAUUUAUUCUUUCAACUUUAUUAUAAAAGACAUUCAAUUUUAUUUAGAACAAAAAAGAAAAGUAGAUAUAGCAUGGUCAUGUUCUUAUAAUCCUUUUUGUUAGUGAAUUAGGAAACAGCCAACCUGAUUAAAAAUUACAUGAAUGUCUCAUAAGAUCAUUCCAAUACUCUGUGGUAGUUUCUUUCAUUUAGUAAAUGAUAUUAACUAAAAAUGUGCUUUUGCUGCAGAAUAACUAAAUCUUGACCUGCUUUAGUUACAUUGAUAGAUUCCCAAGGCUCUCAGCCCCUUAACAGGCUUUCUGAUGUAAUAAAAAGCCAUGUGCUUUUUCAUUACUGUGGAUGGCACAUUCAAAAAAAUUUAUUCCCUCCCACUGUGCCUCUCUCUCUCUUUCUCUCUCAUCCCCCUCUCCCCCCCCCCGCCACCCCACUACUUACCUACCUGAAAGAAGGCAAUGUGAACAAACUGAAAUCAGGCAGGACAGUGUAAAGAACAAAGCCAGAAAAGGGUACAUGAUUUUCCUCAUCAUGCACACCCCUCCCCCAAUUCUAAAGGGUCACCGCCAUAGUCUUCUCAACCAUCCUUGGAAAAUCUGCACGCCCAAGGCUAAAAAUAGCACUCCCCCAGUGGGAAGAGGGCCCACCCAGACAUAGUGUAAUAGUCCCACCCAUGGAAAUACAUCCCAGGAGUCUUCUUGGUAAUUCUGGAAGCCAUUAUAUCAUCAUCAAAAAUAGCAUUUUAAUGUCACAUGGGUGUGUCUUCACUUAUUUGUGAGCUGGAUGUUGGGCAAGGCUCAAGGAACAUGAGAAGAAAAAGACAGAGCUUCUCUGAAGGCUUUCAGUGGAGAUGGGAGGCAAACAGGCCAACAAAUCAUUCUAACGUUCAUGACAGAUAUUGACAAGGAUAUCUGUUGCCACACAGCGAUCUUGACAACCUCUUUCUGUUGGAUAAAAAUUGAUGUGGACCAACAAUCAAAGUAGUUACUCAGUGUAACUCAGAUUAGAAGAUUACUCAGACAGGAAUAAAAAUAUGGAGGGCUGUCAUAUUAUU